ACAGUCCGGGGCCUCAGGAGACCUCCAGCAGCGCCUGGCCAAUUGCGGAUGAUAUACGGAGGGCGCUAUCAAAAGAAUUGCGCCGGCAAAAAGACAGCUAGACAGCACCAUUAAUCUUGGUGGAAAUUCACGCUGUAUUUUAUACUGAAUAUUCAGCUCUUGAUUAUUCCUUGUCUCCACUGCCAUUCAACAUGGAAUCUGUCACACUUUUUAACAUGUAAUCUGCCUGCCAAUCUGCCAUUUCACAGAGUCAGAUGAGUAUUCUAUUCCUCCACCUGCUUAUGCCAUCUUUCUUCUCUAUACUCAUUGCCACCUUUUAGCUCUAUAAUCCUUUCAAUAUGUAUAGAAAUCUGCUCAAUCCAUGUCUGUAUCUUCUCUUAUAGCAGAUUCUUCUAUAUCUGCUUUCAUAUUCUAACUGCUUCUGUAUGAUUCUUAGAAGCUUCUUUCUUUUCAUCAUUCUGCACUUCAUCCAAGGCCAAGCUGCCUCAAUCACAUUGAGAUCAGGCAAAUUCCCACAUCAAAGCAGCGGUUGAAUCUCAUGAAUAUCAUAUAUAUAACAUUGAAUAUAGCGAUCAUAAGAAACCCGCACUAAGGUGCCAGUGCUAGGCCGAAAUUGGUAAUUACCCUAAAGAUAUGACAUCUUAUC
rnacentral:sRNA from 1 species